UACGUAGGGGCCUAGCGUUGUCCGGAUUUAUUGGGCGUAAAGAGCUCGUAGGCGGCUUGGUAAGUCAGGUGUGAAAUCUCCACGCUCAACGUGGAGGGGCCACCCGAAACUGCCAUGGCUUGAGUCCGGUAGGGGAGUGUGGAAUUCCCGGUGUAGCGGUGAAAUGCGCAGAUAUCAGGAGGAACACCGAUGGCGAAGGCAGGUCUCUGGGCAUUAACUGACGCUGAGGAGCGAAAGCAUGGGGAGCGAACAGG
rnacentral:rRNA from 1 species